UACGUAGGGGGCUAGCGUUAUCCGGAAUUAUUGGGCGUAAAGAGCGCGCAGGUGGUUGAUUAAGUCUGAUGUGAAAGCCCACGGCUUAACCGUGGAGGGUCAUUGGAAACUGGUCGACUUGAGUGCAGAAGAGGGAAGUGGAAUUCCAUGUGUAGCGGUGAAAUGCGUAGAGAUAUGGAGGAACACCAGUGGCGAAGGCGGCUUCCUGGUCUGUAACUGACACUGAGGCGCGAAAGCGUGGGGAGCAAACAGGAUUAGAUACCCU
rnacentral:rRNA from 1 species